UAAGGAGGAACCUGAAGAACACGCCGCGUGAGUGAUGACGGUCUUCGGAUCUGUAAAGCUCUGCUUGUUAGACAAGAACAGGUUGCUGAGAGUGCAAAGUUGCACGUGCUGACGGUGCCUUACCUAGAAACGCCACGUGCUAACUACAGUGCCACACACCCACGGGAAUUCAUAGGUCCCAAGCGUUGUCCGGAUUUAUUGGGCGUAAAGCGAGCGCAGGCGGUUCGUUAAUUCUGAACUUAAAGGCCGUGGCUCAACCCUUGUUCGCUUUGGAAACUGGCGAACUUGAGUGCCGAAGAGGAAAGUGGAAUUCCAUGUGUAGCGGUGAAAUGCGUAGAUAUAUGGAGGAACACCGGUGGCGAAAGCGACUCUCUGGACUGUAACUGACGCUGAGGCUCGAAAGCCUGGGGAGCGAACAGGAUUAGAUACCCUGGUAGUCCACGCCGUAAACGAUGAGUGCUAGGUGUUGGAGGCUUUCCCCCCUUCUGUGCCGCAGUUAACGCAUUAAGCACUCCGCCUGGGGAGUACGACCGCAAGGUUGAAACUCAAAGGAAUUGACGGG
rnacentral:rRNA from 1 species